UACGUAGGUGGCAAGCGUUGUCCGGAUUUACUGGGCGUAAAGAGCGCGCAGGCGGUUGAUUAAGUCGAAUGUGAAAGCCCCCGGCUCAACUGGGGAGGGUCAUUCGAUACUGAUCAACUUGAAGGCAGGAGAGGGAAGUGGAAUUCCGGGUGUAGUGGUGAAAUGCGUAGAUAUCCGGAGGAACACCGAUGGCGAAGGCAGCCCCCUGGGCUAAGACUGACGCUGAGGCACGAAAGCGUGGGGAGCAAACAGG
rnacentral:rRNA from 1 species